GCUGGGGGUGGUGGCGUGCACCUGUAGUCCCAGCUACUGGGGAGGCUGAGGCAGGAGGAUCACCUGCGCCCAGGAAGUGGAGGCUACAGUGAGCCGAGAUUGCACCACUGCACUCCAGCCUGGGUGAUAGAGUGAGAUCCUGUCUCAA
ensembl:misc_RNA Metazoa_SRP Metazoan signal recognition particle RNA